GACGAAUGCUGGCGGCGUGCUUAACACAUGCAAGUCGAACGGAAAGGCCCUGCUUUUGUGGGGUGCUCGAGUGGCGAACGGGUGAGUAACACGUGAGUAACCUGCCCUUGACUUUGGGAUAACUUCAGGAAACUGGGGCUAAUACCGGAUAGGAGCUCCUGCUGCAUGGUGGGGGUUGGAAAGUUUCGGCGGUUGGGGAUGGACUCGCGGCUUAUCAGCUUGUUGGUGGGGUAGUGGCUUACCAAGGCUUUGACGGGUAGCCGGCCUGCGAGGGUGACCGGCCACAUUGGGACUGAGAUACGGCCAGACUCCUACGGGAGGCAGCAGUGGGGAAUAUUGCACAAUGGGCGGAAGCCUGAUGCAGCAACGCCGCGUGCGGGAUGACGGCCUUCGGGUUGUAAACCGCUUUCGCCUGUGACGAAGCGUGAGUGACGGUAAUGGGUAAAGAAGCACCGGCUAACUACGUG
rnacentral:rRNA from 1 species